UACGGAGGGGGCAAGCGUUAUCCGGAUUUACUGGGUUUAAAGGGUGCGCAGGCGGAUAUGUAAGUCAGUGGUGAAAUCUCCGGGCUUAACCCGGAAACUGCCGUUGAUACUAUAUAUCUUGAAUGCUGUGGAGGUAAGCAGAAUAUGUCAUGUAGCGGUGAAAUGCUUAGAUAUGACAUAGAACACCAAUUGCGAAGGCAGCUUGCUACACGGUUAUUGACACUGAGGCACGAAAGCGUGGGGAUCAAACAGG
rnacentral:rRNA from 1 species